rnacentral:tRNA from 1 species
UGGGGUGUGGCAGGUUGGUAGAUGCUAUGCAGCCCAUAAAAUGGGCGUAAACGAGGUAUGUAAGGAUAGAUGGUCCCGCGCUGGUUCGAAUCCAGUCACCCCAA